AUGGGCGCGUCGUCCCCGGCGGCGGCGGACCUGGCGUGCCGGGCGGCCGUCAUGGCGGCGCCACGCCUCCUCGGCCUCAUGCAAAGGAACUACCACUCCUCGGCGCCGCGCGCGCCCCUGCACCGGCCAGCUGCGGCGGCCAUCGCCUCCGGGGGCCGCGGCCUCUCGUCCUACGACAAGUACGCCAGCCAGCUUAAGGAUGAGGAGGAGAAGAUGAGGACCAAGAAGCAGCUUGCGGUGGCGCUGAUGAACGACACCCCGAGGAGCAGCGGCGACGGCGACCACGGGGAGGAGGUCAAGAGCGUCAGCAACCUCCUCUCCCUGCUCGGCGCCCCCGCUCCCGCCCCCACCAACGGCCCCACGGCCGACCAGCUCGCCAAGCAGCUGCUGAACGAGCGCCGGAGCUUGCUGGAGAAGAAGAAGAACGCGCUGCUGAUCGAGCUGCUCAACGGGGACGGCCACGGCAGGGAGCACAAGACGGCCGAGGUCGUCGCCGCCGCCCGCCAGCUCCUCGACGACCUCGCGGCGUACGAGGAGCGCCGGGCCCACAAAACCUUCUCCGCGGAGCUGAAGGGUCUGCAGAAGAUGGUGGAGGCCAACAGGCUCAAGGCCGAGGCCGACAACAGGAGCGCGAUGAGCUCCAUGGAUCUAGUCAAGGCGCAGGUCCAGUCGACUAAUGCCACCGUCCACUCUUACCGCGCGGACGUGAAGCGGCUAGAGGCCGGAGUUGCAGAAGCCAGAUUAGAGGCAAAGAUGGCCGGGGAAAUCGUGGACUCCGUAAAGAAGACAGGGGAGAGGUUGGAGGGGAAGUAUGGAGAUUUGUCGAAAGGGGUGGAGUCGGCUAAAGGUCUCUCGUGCUUCGUGUUCUGGUGCGGCGCCCUGAGCGGACUGAGUUAUUAUAUGAAUUAUUAUUUAUGA
rnacentral:rRNA from 1 species